AACGAACGCUGGCGGCAGGCUUAACACAUGCAAGUCGAACGCACCGCAAGGUGAGUGGCGCACGGGUGAGUAACGCGUGGGAAUGUACCGUUUAGUACGGAAUAGCUCCGGGAAACUGGAAUUAAUACCGUAUACGCCCUUCGGGGGAAAGAUUUAUCGCUAAACGAUCAGCCCGCGUGAGAUUAGGUAGUUGGUGGGGUAAUGGCCUACCAAGCCUACGAUCUCCAGCUGGUCUGAGAGGACGAUCAGCCACACUGGAACUGAGACACGGUCCAGACUCCUACGGGAGGCAGCAGUGGGGAAUAUUGGACAAUGGGGGAAACCCUGAUCCAGCCAUGCCGCGUGAAUGAUGAAGGCCUUAGGGUUGUAAAGUUCUUUUACCGAUGAAGAUAAUGACGGUAGUCGGAGAAAAAGCCCCGGCUAACUUCGUGCCAGCCGCCGCUGUAA
rnacentral:rRNA from 1 species